rnacentral:rRNA from 1 species
GAUGAACGCUGGCGGCGUGCUUAACACAUGCAAGUCGAGCGGGCAAUUUAUCUAGCACUGAUUACUUCAAAUGGAAAUCAUAAGUGUAAUCAUGAAUUUCUACCUUUAAUAAAGAAAAAAGAAAUUCAUGUACGCAAAUAGUGAUAACACAUUUUAGUGGAGUGAUGAGUGCUGGAUAAAUUGCUAGCGGCGGACGGGUGCGUAACACGUGGGUAACCUGCCCCUAUCACUGGGAUAACACACUGAAAAGUGUGCUAAUACCAGAUAACAUAAGCUUUUGGCAUCAUUAGCUUAUCAAAGAAUUUCGGAUAGGGAUGGGCCCGCGUCUGAUUAGCUAGUUGGUGAGGUAACGGCUCACCAAGGCAACGAUCAGUAGCCGACCUGAGAGGGUGAUCGGCCACACUGGAACUGAGACACGGUCCAGACUCCUACGGGAGGCAGCAGUGGGG